GGGCAGAUGGUGCAACCAACUUGAAUGAUUGGCUUUGGCCCCAUGGAAACAGAGCCAUGACUAAUCUCAAUUGUCUGGUAACAGUUAAGCUUAUAAUGAAUGCUAUAAAUCAAAUGUCUGCAUCAAAAUCCUCAAAUCUUCAAAUUGUGAUGCUAUCAAAGAAAAGCAUACAUGCCAUACAUAUAUUAUCCACAUUAAAUUGCUC
rnacentral:lncRNA from 1 species